rnacentral:tRNA from 1 species
CCUGGUGAUGCAGCAGUUAAGCACUCAACUGCUAACUGAAAGGUUGGUGGUUCAAACCCACCCAGCAGGA